UCAGACGAUGCGUCAUGCAUAUCAAUAAGCGGAGGAAAAGAAACUAACAAGGAUUCCCUUAGUAACGGCGAGUGAAGCGGGAAGAGCUCAAAUUUGAAAUCUUCAAGGUUUUACCUUGACGAAUUGUAGUUUAAAGAAGUGUUUUCUGUUGAAGUUUUGGUAAAAGUUCUUUGGAAUAGGACAUCAUAGAGGGCGAGAAUCCCGUAUUUGACCAUUCUUUUCUAGCUGUGUGAUACACUUUCAAAGAGUCGGAUUGUUUGGGAAUGCAGUCCAAAAUGGGUGGUAAACUUUCAUCUAAAGCUAAAUAUUGGCGAGAGACUGAUAGCGAACAAGUACCGUGAGGGAAAGAUGAAAAGAACUUUGAAAAGAGAGUUAAACAGUACGUGAAAUUGUCAAGAGGGAAGCGUUUGACACCAGUGUUGUUUUCUCGAAAAUCAAUUAAAAAGAGUUGGAUUUUGUGUUGUAUUGACCUUAACAGCUUGCUUCACUCUUUUCCUGCUUUUUUUAAUGCACUUUUCGUUUAACAAGUCAACAUCAGUUUCUUUUGUUGUAAAAGGGUCAUUGGAAGGUGGCUUUCUCUUCGGAGAAAGUGUUUAUAGCCUUUGGCCUCUGCAAUCGGAGAGAUUGAGGUCUACAGCGUAGAUCCUUCGGGGCUAGAUACAUUUGCUGCUAAGUUAUAGCUUUGUCAUAGACAACUUGUUGACUAUGCUUAGUCAUGUAACUUACCCGCAUAUAGUAUUUUACCUACGCUUAGGAUGUUGAUAUGCAUGACUGAUAU
rnacentral:rRNA from 1 species